AUGGGUGAAUGUUACUAUAGAGGUCUAUGGGACAGGUAUAUGUUACUAUAGAGGUCUAUGGGACAGGUAUUUGUUACUAUAGAGGUCUAUUGGACAGGUGAUUGUUACUAUAGAGGUCUAUUGGACAGGUGAUUGUUACUAUAGAGAAGGAGUUUGCCAUCUAAAAGAGCUGUGGGUUCUAAAUACAAGUAGUUUCUAUAACACAUCCUUAUACCAUGUCUGUCGUUUACAUAAACACCCCCCCCCCAAAGAGAGCUUUACAAUGGGAGCAAUAUAUGACAUCAUUCACCGUCUCAACUUCUUCUCCUUUCGAAGAGAUCAAAUGAAUAUGUAUUUUUUAUUUUUUAUUCCAAAUGCGGGCAUUUUGUGAAUUUCUGGUAAUUACGUAAAUGAUUUAAAAAUUUGAUUUGAUUUUUUAAAAUGUAUUUAAUUUCCCUGCCUGCCGUGAGCAAGAAAUGUGAUGUUUUUAUCAUGUGGAUUUGUGCUGUUGCUCAAAGUAAGUCUGUCCUGGUUCCUUUUGUAUAAUGGACGGAGUAGAUUUGUGUCGUGAUACACAAACAGCCUCAAAAUCUAUUGUUAAUAUAACUUGUUGUUCUUAGUCUUAAUAUUAUCGAAUGCUUUAGAUGCCAAAAUGCAUAUUUAAAAAUAAAUAAAAAUAAUAGCCUUGAAUCUAUCUAUUUAUCUAUCUAUGGUUUUCAUGAUUAUAUAAAGAGAAUGUAUAGACAAUCUGUCAUCUUUUUUUUUAAAGCUACUAAAAUCACUGAUAUUUAACAAAAUGUACUUUUAAAUCAUGAUUUCCAUAACAAUAUUGUGUUAAUUAGUGCUUCUAUUUCAUGCUGUGAUUUCAUCCUGGUCAACGUGUACCAGGUUGAACAAUAGCUGUUGUGUGUUAAGCCUUGAGGUGCAGAUCCCCUGCUAUAUGACAGGCCUACUAACACACCAACCUAGCAAGCCUGGAUCCACACAUUUACAAUGGGACUCUUUUGUUGUUGCUAGAAUUCACCACCACAGUUACUUUAUCUGUUUCUACGGGAACAUGUUUAUACCGUUUUGUUUUCUAUAAUGUAUUUGUGUUUACACUUUAGAUGGGAUUCUCUUUUUUUUUCCUGAGGAUGUGUGACGUCUGUUGCUUCUCAUUUCAUGGUGGUAUAUUACUGUGGCCAUGCUUGUAUUAUCUUUUCAUAUUUGUUAUUAAAUGGAACACAUACUAAUAAAGAUCUGGAAUUCCA